UACGGGGGGGGCGAGCGUUGUCCGAAGUUACUGGGCGUAAAGCGCGUGUAGGUGGGUUGUUAAGUCCGCUGUGAAAGCCCGGUGCUCAACGCCGGAGGGUCGGUGGAUACUGGCAGUCUUGAAGUGGCUAGGGGGAAAUGGAAUUACCGGUGUAGCGGUGAAAUGCGUAGAUAUCGGUAGGAACACCAGUGGCGAAGGCGGUUUCCUGGAGCCCACUUGACGCUGAGACGCGAAAGCUGGGGGAGCAAACGGG
rnacentral:rRNA from 1 species